AUUAAAGUCGAGUUGGCUUAGGGAUACGUUCGUUGGGUAGGGGAGCGUUCUGUAAGCCUGUGAAGGUGUGUCGUGAGGCAUGCUGGAGGUAUCAGAAGUGCGAAUGCUGACAUAAGUAACGAUAAAGCGGGUGAAAAGCCCGCUCGCCGGAAGACCAAGGGUUCCUGUCCAACGUUAAUCGGGGCAGGGUGAGUCGACCCCUAAGGCGAGGCCGAAAGGCGUAGUCGAUGGGAAACGGGUUAAUAUUCCCGUACUUGGUGUUACUGCGAAGGGGGGACGGAGAAGGCUAUGUUGGCCGGGCGACGGUUGUCCCGGUUUAAGCGUGUAGGUGUGUGUUCCAGGUAAAUCCGGUUCACUUUA
rnacentral:rRNA from 1 species